CGGAGGGGGCUAGCGUUGUUCGGAAUUACUGGGCGUAAAGCGCACGUAGGCGGCUUUGUAAGUUAGAGGUGAAAGCCCGGGGGCUCAACUCCGGAAUUGCCUUUAAGACUGCAUCGCUGGAAUUGUGGAGAGGUAAGUGGAAUUCCGAGUGUAGAGGUGAAAUUCGUAGAUAUUCGGAAGAACACCAGUGGCGAAGGCGACUUACUGGACACAUAUUGACGCUGAGGUGCGAAAGCGUGGGGAGCAAACAGGAUUGGAUACCCUGGUAGUCCACGCCGUAAACGAUGAUGACUAGCUGUCGGGGCGCUUAGCGUUCCGGUGGCGCAGCUAACGCGUUAAGUCAUCCGCCUGGGGAGUACGGCCGCAAGGUUA
rnacentral:rRNA from 1 species